UACGUAGGGGGCAAGCGUUGUCCGGAAUCAUUGGGCGUAAAGAGCGUGUAGGUGGCUCGGUAAGUCCGCUGUGAAAGUCCAGGGCUUAACCCUGGAAAGCCGGUGGAAACUGUCGAGCUCGAGUCCGGAAGAGGCGAGUGGAAUUCCUGGUGUAGCGGUGAAAUGCGCAGAUAUCAGGAGGAACACCAAUGGCGAAGGCAGCUCGCUGGGACGGUACUGACACUGAGACGCGAAAGCGUGGGGAGCAAACAGG
rnacentral:rRNA from 1 species